UUUAAAGAGAGUUUGAUCCUGGCUCAGGACGAACGCUGGCGGCGUGCCUAAUACAUGCAAGUCGAACGAACGGAGGAAGAGCUUGCUCUUCCAAAGUUAGUGGCGGACGGGUGAGUAACACGUGGGCAACCUGCCUGUAAGUUGGGGAUAACUCCGGGAAACCGGGGCUAAUACCGAAUGAUAAAGUGUGGCGCAUGC
rnacentral:rRNA from 1 species